GACGAACCGUGCGAACGUUGUUCGGAAUCACUGGGCUUAAAGGGCGCGUAGGCGGGCUUGUUAGUCCAGGGUGAAAGCCCCCGGCUCAACCGGGGAAGCGCCUUGGAUACUGCGGGCCUGGAGGGGGGUAGGGGCGUGCGGAACUUCCGGGUGUAGCGGUGGAAUGCGUAGAGAUCCGGAAGAACACCGGUGGCGAAGGCGGCCUGCUGGGCAGUAGCUGACACUGAGGCGCGACAGCGUGGGGAGCAACAGG
rnacentral:rRNA from 1 species